GACCUCAUGGCUCAGCUGGUUAGAGCUUUUAUUGUCCUAAAGCCUUCAUCUUGUUGGUGUGGGUUCAAAUCCCACCGAGGCCG
rnacentral:tRNA from 1 species